rnacentral:lncRNA from 1 species
UUUAUUUAAGAUUUGGUAUAGGAUAUAGGAUUUAGAGUUUGAUUUAGGUUUUAAAAUUUGUCUAGGAUUUGGUUUAGGAUUUAGGAUUUAGAAUUUAUCUAGGGCUCGAUUUAGGAUUUAGAGUUUGUUUAGGAUUUGGUUUAGGAUUUAAGAUUUGUUUAUGGCUUGAUUUAGGAUUAGAAUAUGACAUAGGAUUUAAUUAAGGACCAUUAUGGUUUCAAUUAAGAUUAAAGUAGGAUUUGACUAAGAGUUCUUUAAGUUUUUUUUAAUACUUUUUUAGGAUUUUUUUUU